rnacentral:rRNA from 1 species
AUUGAACGCUGGCGGCAGGCUUAACACAUGCAAGUCGAGCGGGGAAGGGUAGUUUGCACCAUAACUUAGCGGCGGACGGGUGAGUAAUGCUUAGGAAUCUGCCUAUUAGUGGGGGACAACAUCUCGAAAGGGAUGCUAAUACCGCAUACGUCCUACGGGAGAAAGCAGGGGACCUUCGGGCCUUGCGCUAAUAGAUGAGCCUAAGUCGGAUUAGCUAGUUGGUGGGGUAAAGGCCUACCAAGGCGACGAUCUGUAGCGGGUCUGAGAGGAUGAUCCGCCACACUGGGACUGAGACACGGCCCAGACUCCUACGGGAGGCAGCAGUGGGGAAUAUUGGACAAUGGGGGGAACCCUGAUCCAGCCAUGCCGCGUGUGUGAAGAAGGCCUUUUGGUUGUAAAGCACUUUAAGCGAGGAGGAGGCUACUGGUAUUAAUACUACCGGAUAGUGGACGUUACUCGCAGAAUAAGCACCGGCUAACUCUGUGCCAGCCGCCGCCGUAAUAC